AAAGCACGACAUUGCUCACAUUGCUUCCAGUAUUACUUUAGCCAGCUUUUCGCUGGCUUUUUUUU
rnacentral:antisense_RNA from 1 species